AGGACUGUCGAGGCGCGCUCCGCACCUGGCCUGAAAGCGGGAGAUUUGGCAACCAGUGCGCGUGGGUGCGCCGGCCCUUGCAGCUGGGGACUCUGGAGGCAGACCUUGCCCAAAGCCAGAGGCAGGAACUCCCCAGAUCCUCCCAGGGUAGCAUGGGAGGAUGCCGCCUCCUCCAGGAAGCUCUCUAGCGCUUUUCCGAGUCCUGGAGCCAGGCGGGACUUCUCUGUGGUCGCCUAGAAGGAGACCAACAAUUGUCAGCACAGCAAAACUGGGCAUUUCUUUUCUUACUGAGCUUUGCAGCUACCUACACAGUUGUGUGUGGCAUCUCCUCCUGGGUGCAAGGACAUGAGAUGACAUCAGGGUCUUGCUGUGUCAUCCAGGCUGGAGUGCAGUGAUAUGAGCAUGGCUCACUGCAGCCUCGACCUCCCAGCUUCAAGCAAUGCUCCCACCUUGGCCUCCCAAAGCGCUGGGAUUACAGGCAUGAGCCACCAUGCCUGGCCAUUGCCAUUGCACUUCAGCUGGUUCUCCUGAACCUUGAAUUAUCUUAGGAAAGAUUGUAUUUUCAGGAAUUAAGUCUAUUGGAGACACAGCAGGACUCCACAGCCAGCUAGAUUUGGAUAAAAUGUAGACUGCCUCAAGGCCAGUGUGUUGACUUCUGACCAGUCUCAUCUGAACCCACACCCUUUAACAUAUAUACAAAACACCUGAAGGGUUGGGCUGCCAGCUUUCUUUAGGAUGAUAGAGGGCAGGUUAAGUUUGUUUGACAUAACUAGAAGAGGUGGAGCCUCUUCCUAAUGGAGCAAGGUCCAUUUAUGGCAAACUGUGGUCCCCCACCACUAUCAGCUACUUCUGGAUAGCUUUUGCUUAAAGUUGAUGAGAUAUUGUUUCUUUCACUAGAAGAAAAUGAAUGAGUUGGUGAUCCCAAA
rnacentral:lncRNA from 1 species